rnacentral:lncRNA from 1 species
CCACAAGAACAAUUUAAGUAAUUAUCAGCUUGCAUCACUUAAGCGCCAAGCUUGUACCUGUUGUGUACAAUUAAAGUCUUGGCAAUUAAAUCUUAAGUUUAUCAUUCUAAAACAGUUAAGUUUUGUAAGAUUAUAAUUAUUAUUAGGUUUAAUUAGUCUUUUGGUCCCUUAAAGAUAUUUUAGGUUUCACAAUGGUCCCUUAAAGAAAAAAAGGUCCGGAUUGGUCCCUUAAAGACACAUUUGUUUCUCAAUUGGUCCUUUCUGUCAAUUUUUUACAAAAAACGUUAGUUUUAGUUGACUGGAUUGUAG